rnacentral:rRNA from 1 species
GACGAACGCUGGCGGCGUGCUUAACACAUGCAAGUCGAACGGUGAAGGGAUCAGCUUGCUGGUUCUGGAUGAGUGGCGAACGGGUGAGUAACACGUGAGUAACCUGCCCCCUUCUUCUGGAUAACCGCAUGAAAGUGUGGCUAAUACGGGAUAUUCUGCGCCUGCUGCAUGGUGGGUGUGGGAAAGAUAUUGUUUCGGUGGGGGAUGGGCUCGCGGCCUAUCAGCUUGUUGGUGGGGUGAUGGCCUACCAAGGCGGUGACGGGUAGCCGGCCUGAGAGGGUGGACGGUCACACUGGGACUGAGACACGGCCCAGACUCCUACGGGAGGCAGCAGUGGGGAAUAUUGAACAAUGGGCGCAAGCCUGAUGCAGCGACGCCGCGUGAGGGAGGGAGGCCUUCGGGUUGUGAACCUCUUUCGCCAGUGAAGCAGGCCUGUCCCUUGUGGGUGGGUUGACGGUAGCUGGAUAAGAAGCGCCGGCUAACUACGUG